rnacentral:rRNA from 1 species
AUGAAUCAAAGAAGGUAAUAAUCCUGUAGUCGAAAAUGUUGUCUCUCUUGAGUGGAUCCUGAGUACGACGGAGCACGUGAAAUUCCGUCGGAAUCUGGGAGGACCAUCUCCUAAGGCUAAAUACUCUCUAGUGACCGAUAGUGAACCAGUACCGUGAGGGAAAGGUGAAAAGCACCCCGGAAGGGGAGUGAAAUAGAACCUGAAACCGUGUGCUUACAAGUAGUCAGAGCCCGUUAAUGGGUGAUGGCGUGCCUUUUGUAGAAUGAACCGGCGAGUUACGAUUUGAUGCAAGGUUAAGCAGUAAAUGUGGAGCCGUAGCGAAAGCGAGUCUGAAUAGGGCGUUUAGUAUUUGGUCGUAGACCCGAAACCAGGUGAUCUACCCUUGGUCAGGUUGAAGUUCAGGUAACACUGAAUGGAGGACCGAACCGACUUACGUUGAAAAGUGAGCGGAUGAACUGAGGGUAGCGGAGAAAUUCCAAUCGAACCUGGAGAU